UACGUAGGGUGCGAGCGUUGCCCGGAAUUACUGGGCGUAAAGGGCUUGUAGGUGGUUUGUCGCGUUGUUCGUGAAAACUCACAGCUUAACUGUGGGCGUGCGGGCGAUACGGGCAGACUGGAGUACUGCAGGGGAGACUGGAAUUCCUGGUGUAGCGGUGGAAUGCGCAGAUAUCAGGAGGAACACCGGUGGCGAAGGCGGGUCUCUGGGCAGUAACUGACGCUGAGGAGCGAAAGCGUGGGUAGCGAACAGG
rnacentral:rRNA from 1 species